rnacentral:lncRNA from 1 species
CACUAGACUGCAUUACAGACGGUACCAUCGCCUCAGCAGCAUCUUUCCAGACAAGAGCUACCAUUUGUAGAUUCAAAUCAAAGCUAACAGAAGUGGCAAUAAGAGACAGAAACACCUUAACCAAAGAAGAUUCCAAACAGCAGUACAAGAAGANNNUGGAGUCUCAAGGAUGGCCUCCAGCCACUGGAAUGAAACCACAACCUCUGUUUACCAGUACCUUGGGUUUCAAGUGCAAAAGAUUUACCCUUUCCAUGAUAACUGGAACACUGCCUGCUUUGUCAUCCUGCUUCUGUUCAUAUUUACUGUGGUGUCCUUGGUUGUGCUGGCUUUCCUUUAUGAGGUACUUGACUGCUGCUGCUGUGCAAAGAACAAAACUGUGAAGGACUUGAAAAGCGAGCCGAAUCCUCUUAGAAGUAUGAUGGACAACAUCAGAAAACGUGACAGUGAGGUGGUCUAGCCUUCCACAGAAGAUAAACAAAAGCUUUAAGAACAGCCGUCCGCCUCUUCUGAGGAAAAUGAAACUUUCCUGAGGCCAACCUUUAUUACAAAAUUGAUCUGACUUUGAAUGGCUAAAAGAAUUCUAGUAGAAAAGAAAACAUGUGAAAUGUGCACUCUCGUGUAUGUAUCCUCAUUAAAUAUGCAGUUCAUAGUGUGAA